GGAGGGAUGGCUGAGUGGUCGAAAGCGGCGGUCUUGAAAACCGUUGAGGGUAACACCUCCGUGGGUUCGAAUCCUACUCCCUCCG
rnacentral:tRNA from 1 species